GUAGGAAUCUGCCUGGUAGUGGGGGACAACUCGGAGAAAUUCGAGCUAAUACCGCAUACGCCCUAUGGGGGAAAGCGGGGGAUCUUCGGACCUCGCGCUAUCGGAUGAGCCUGCGUUGGAUUAGCUAGUUGGUGGGGUAAAGGCCUACCAAGGCGACGAUCCAUAGCUGGUCUGAGAGGACGAUCAGCCACACUGGGACUGAGACACGGCCCAGACUCCUACGGGAGGCAGCAGUGGGGAAUAUUGGACAAUGGGCGCAAGCCUGAUCCAGCAAUACCGCGUGUGUGAAGAAGGCCUGAGGGUUGUAAAGCACUUUCAAUAGGGAGGAAAAAGCGUUGGUUAAUACCCGAUGCCUUGACAUUACCUAUAGAAGAAGCACCGGCUAACUCCGUGCCAGCAGCCGCGGUAAUACGGAGGGUGCGAGCGUUAAUCGGAAUUACUGGGCGUAAAGCGUGCGUAGGCGGCUGUUUAAGUCAGAUGUGAAAGCCCCGGGCUUAACCUGGGAACUGCAUUUGAUACUGGACAGCUCGAGUUUAGGAGAGGAGAGUGGAAUUUCCGGUGUAGCGGUGAAAUGCGUAGAGAUCGGAAGGAACACCAGUG
rnacentral:rRNA from 1 species